CUGGGGCCAUUCUGGGGCCGUUUGUUGCCAUUUUAGGGCCGUUUAUUGCCAUUUUGGGGUCAUUUGGGGCCAUUUUAAGGCCAUUUGUUGCCAUUUGAGGCCGCUUAUUGCCAUUUGGUGCCCCCCGGGGCCAUUUUGGGGCCGUUUGUUGCCAUUUGGGGUCCCCUGGGGCCAUUUUGGGGCCGUUUUUUGUCACUUUAGGGCCGUUUGGUGCCGUUUGGGGCCAUUUUGGGGCCGUUUGUUGCCAUUUUGGGGCCGUUUGUUGCCAUUUGGGGGCCGUUUGUUGCCAUUUUGGGGUCAUUUGGGGCCAUUUUGGGGCCGUUUGUUGCCAUUUGGGGUCAUUUUGGGACC
rnacentral:lncRNA from 1 species